UGUAAGCGUAUACCAAAGUUGUUGCAGUUAAAACGCUCGUAGUCGGAAUUUGGCAGUUCCGGAUGUGUGCACGUCGUGUGCGCACUUCGCGGGGAUUGCUUUUGUGGUCUUGCGUAGGAUGAGGCACUUUUAUUAGUGAACGUCCUCACGCAACCACUUUUUACUGUGAGAAAACCAGAGUGCUCAAAGCAGGCAUUUGCCGUGAAUGUAUUAGCAUGGAAUAAUAGAAUAGGACUUGGUUCUAUUUUGUUGGUUUGUUGGGACUGAGUAAUGAUUAAGAGGGACAGUUGGGGGCAUUUGUAUUUCGGUGCUAGAGGUGAAAUUCUUAGAUUACCGAAAGACAAACUGCUGCGAAAGCGUCUGCCAAGGAUGUUUUCAUUGA
rnacentral:rRNA from 1 species